rfam:Ixodes scapularis strain Wikel colony gcontig_1108379178516, whole genome shotgun sequence.
GCCUCAGUGGCUCCGAGGCGAGAGCGCCGGCCUACGGAUCCCCAGGUAACGGGUUCGAAUCCCGACCGAGGUG